ACAAGAGAGUUAAAGCAUGAUUGUUUUACCUGCAAGUUGAUUGGUUCAAGUGCCGGUUUUGCUUCAUCUAUGUAUAUUCUUUACCAAGCUAGAUCAUUGAAAUCAUGGUAUGCAAAACUUGGUUGUGGAUUAGCUGCAUGCGGUUUGUUUGGUUUUGGCGUUGCGCGAUGGCAGAAGUAAAGAAUAAAUAAAAAGCUUAAUAAUAAUUUUAAGCAAACAGCAUGUAAUCUAUGUACUCAACAUUAGUUUUUCAAGAACAUUUAACAA